UACGUAGGGUGCAGGCGUUAAUCGGAAUUACUGGGCGUAAAGCGUGCGCAGGCGGUCUGCUAAGAGAGAUGUGAAAUCCCCGGGCUUAACCUGGGAACUGCGUUUCUAACUGGCAGGCUAGGGUGUGGCAGAGGGGGGUGGAAUUCCACGUGUAGCAGUGAAAUGCGUAGAGAUGUGGAGGAACACCGAUGGCGAAGGCAGCCCCCUGGGCUAACACUGACGCUCAUGCACGAAAGCGUGGGGAGCAAACAGG
rnacentral:rRNA from 1 species